GGGGCUGCUGCCUCACGUCCCCACAAUGUGGCUCCCUGGAAAGCUAUUUUCACCCAAGUAGGCCUAGCCUCAGAAGCUCUUGAGGGCAGCACAUUUUUCAGAAACUAAAAUAACAGCUAUUAUCAGAGGCACCACGGUAGAGCGACUCAUCCCUGCCCAACCCCAAGUUGUAGGGCCUGCAGCUCUGCCCGUCACCUCCCCUGGCAAGGACACCAUCCCUGGCCACGGCUCCCCCAUGACCUCAGCCCUACAGGAACCUGGCCAAGGAAACGCAGAACCCCCAGGGGCAUCAGCCUAUGUUCCCAGCAGAUAGGGCGGCCACAUAAAAUCAGAACGCCUAGUUAAAUGUGAAUUUCAGGUGAACUACAGACAGGUUUUCAGGAUACGUGCGUCCUAUCAUUGCACAGGAACACAAUAAAAAUUACUUAUUGCUUACCAGAAAUUCAUAUUUAACAGGCACCCUUCUGUUGUUUCUUGUGUUUCGUUUGUUUGUUUGUGCUCAAUCUGGCAAUCCUACCCUCAGAUCCAGUCCCAGGUAUACAGUUGGUGUUCAGUUGAUGCCUACAUUCUUUGUUCUUGGUCAGUCAUCCCAGAUGUAUUUAUUUAUUUAUUUAUUUUAGUUUUAUUUUUUUGAGACGGAGUCUCACUCUGUCACCCAGACUCCAUCUCAAAAAAGAAACCAAAAAAAAUAAAAAUAAAAAAACAAAAAAAACUGGUAAGGUCCUG
rnacentral:lncRNA from 10 species